GCCAGACAAGAGUCACAUUCAGUGUUACAAUUGUCAGAAGUAUGGUCAUUAUUCUAGUGAUUGUCCAGAAAAGCAGAAGAAUCAAGAAACUUAUGCAAAGCUGGCGAAACAUGAAGAAGAAGAGACUUGGUUGAUGGUUACAACGAGAGAUGAAUAGAGAUUCAAGGACCAAUGGUACUUGGACUCAAGAUUCUCAUCACACGUGUCUAGAAGGAAAGAUUG
rnacentral:lncRNA from 1 species